UACAGAGGUCCCUAGCGUUGUUCGGAUUCACUGGGCGUAAAGGGUGCGUAGGCGGUUUGGUAAGUCUCGUGUGAAAUCUCCGGGCUCAACUCGGAGCCUGCACGAGAAACUGCCGGGCUUGAGUGUGGGAGAGGUGAGUGGAAUUCCUGGUGUAGCGGUGAAAUGCGUAGAUAUCAGGAGGAACACCUGUGGCGAAAGCGGCUCACUGGACCAUAACUGACGCUGAUGCACGAAAGCUAGGGGAGCAAACAGG
rnacentral:rRNA from 1 species